GUGCAUUCAUCAAGUAUGCAGUUUCUACUAUGUGCAAGGCCCUGUUAUGGGUGGUCACACAAAGGGAUAGAAGGGGUGAAGAUCCCUGCCUUUAUGAAGUUUACAUUCGAGUAGAGAAAAAUGACUCCCCCCAAAGCAGCAUAACUACCAAGAAAAUGAUAUAUUAUAUUGGAAGGUGAUGUUGAUAAAAUUAUAUAGCAGAGCAAGAAGAGGAAGGGCUGGAUAUGAGUAGUUGGGUGGCGACAUUUUGAAGGGCACAGGGAAAUUACACAAGGUGUACAACCUCUUAAAUAGCAACCAAUAGAAAAUGCUGUUUGUUGUUGUUUCUCAUAGCCAGGGUAUAAGGAUUCAGGAACCAAGAUUCCAACCAAGGUUGGAAAUAGGAGUGUGAUAAGUGUAAGGAAAUGAAAAUAGACCACAGUGGCUGGAGGUUUGUAUGUAUGUAUGUAUUUAAUGUUUUUAUUCAAGGUGAAGAGUACAUGGACAUAUGGGUAGAAGCCAAAUUGUGUUGGGCCAUACAAAGUUUGAAUUUUGUUCUCUGUAAAAUCAGAAGGUUAGAAAAAAUUUGAGUAGGUAGAUAAAUUAAUAGUAUUUGAAUAUUGGGGAGAUCUUUUUAAAUGGCUGGUGUAGAGUUAGGCUAAAGUCAAAUCACUGAGAGAAUUUAGGGCCUAUUGUAGGAGUGAUGGAAACAGAUGUCUGUAGGGGAAUUGGGCUAUGCUGCUGGAGGGGAGUUGAAAGUUAAGAGAGGAGACAAAAUCCCUGAUGAAUGGGAUGCUGCAGAUGAAAGAAAGUGGAAGUAAAACAUAGCUCCAAGUUUUCCAGUUUGAAAAGCUGGUAGAUAAAUCUGGCAGUUUUUGAGAUAGAUAGCAUGUGGGGUACAAGGUAGGGAUGAAGAAAUCGUACUUUGCUGUGGAAAGCCAAGAUAAAUAUUUAGUUGUAGAUGGAUUUGAGACUUUAAAAUGGAGAUGCCAAUUACGUAGACGGAUACAAGAUUAGAAAUCCCAUUUGGACACAAAUUUGAUUGUAACAUGAAUAAAUAUUGUUUUACUUUUCAAUCUAGGAAACAGAAACGAGAGCCAAAAAUGAGUCUGAAAAAUUCCUCCUUAAUUAAUCCUUAAUUCAAGCAGAGGAUUUGAAUCUACAAAAGAAACCAAAUAUCUUUCCUGAGAUAAAGAUGAAGACCAAAAAGAAAAGGAGGAAAAGGAAGAAGAAGGAGGAGAAAGAAAUUUGAAGUAACAGAAGUUAAAAGAAGAACAUUUUGCAAAGGAGGAAAUGAUCUCUUCUGGGGUUAAUACUCUCAACAGUUUUAGUAAGGAUCACGGGAAAUUUACAUGGAUCUGUGUUUCACGGUACCUGACAUAAAUCAUUGGUGACCUGGAGAAGAACAUUUUCAGUAGACGUAGACCAGUUUGGAACCAGUGUGGGAUAGACUGAAUUAUGAGUGGAAAGUGAAGAAGUGGCACUGUCUCUUUAGAUACUUUCUUUAAAAUCUUGGUAAUGUAUAAUAAAGAAAUGCAGUGGGAAUUAAAGGAAAAUAUGGGGCAAAAGAACGAUAACGUUUGGGCUUUUGCUACCUGAUAAUUUCUAUUCAUUACACAUUUGUCAGAGAAAAAUGCAUCGUUUUAAAAGGUAAGGGCUUUUGAAGUUAGACAGCUAGACCAGAUCUUGAACAAGACAUUUAACUAUACUAAACACCAGGUUUUUUAUCUGUCAUGUGUAUGUCCUGUCUACUUCACGGUUUCUUGAGAGGAUUAAAUGGGAGAACCUGUGUGGAACAUUUAGCACAGACUUUGAUUAGCAGUAAAUGCUCAUUAAAAUUUGCUUCUCUCUUUUAAUAUGUUUUAUUUAAAUUAUGUUAUUAUUUCCCUCCAGUUUAACAUGGCAAGUAACUGGUCAAACCAAAAUUCACCCCAAGAUAAAUUUAGAAGAAUCUCUCUCUGUGGUUAAAGACAGGACUCUCCCAUGUCU
rnacentral:lncRNA from 1 species